rnacentral:rRNA from 1 species
UACGUAGGGUGCGAGCGUUGUCCGGAAUUAUUGGCGUAAAGGGCUCGUAGGCGGUUCUGUCGCGUCGGGAGUGAAAACUCAGGGCUUAACCCUUGAGCCUGCUUCCGAUACGGGCAGACUAGAGGUAUGCAGGGGAGAGCGGAACUCCUGGUAGUAGCGGUGAAUGCGCAGAUAAUCAGGAAGAACACCGGUGGCGAAGGCGGCUCUCUGGGCCUACCUGACGCUGAGGAGCGAAAGCGUGGGUAGCGAACAGG